CACGUAGGGCGCAAGCGUUGUCCGGAAUUAUUGGGCGUAAAGAGCUCGUAGGCGGUCUGUUACGUCUGCUGUGAAAACCCAGGGCUUAACCCUGGGCUUGCAGUGGAUACGGGCAGACUAGAGGCAGGUAGGGGAGAAUGGAAUUCCCGGUGUAGCGGUGAAAUGCGUAGAGAUCGGAAAGAACACCAACGGCGAAAGCACUCUGCUGGGCCGACACUGACACUGAGAGACGAAAGCUAGGGGAGCGAAUGGG
rnacentral:rRNA from 1 species